CCUACGGGAGGCAGCAGUGAGGAAUAUUGGUCAAUGGGCGAGAGCCUGAACCAGCCAAGUAGCGUGAAGGAUGACCGCCCUAUGGGUUGUAAACUUCUUUUAUAUGGGAAUAAAGUGCGGGACGUGUCCUGUUUUGUAUGUACCUUAUGAAUAAGGAUCGGCUAACUCCGUGCCAGCAGCCGCGGUAAUACGGAGGAUCCGAGCGUUAUCCGGAUUUAUUGGGUUUAAAGGGAGCGUAGAUGGAUGUUUAAGUCAGUUGUGAAAGUUUGCGGCUCAACCGUAAAAUUGCAGUUGAUACUGGAUGUCUUGAGUGCAGUUGAGGCAGGCGGAAUUCGUGGUGUAGCGGUGAAAUGCUUAGAUAUCACGAAGAACUCCGAUUGCGAAGGCAGCUCACUGGACUGCAACUGACACUGAUGCUCGAAAG
rnacentral:rRNA from 1 species